rnacentral:piRNA from 1 species
AGAGUUCUCUGGUGGAAUUUUUA